rnacentral:pre_miRNA from 1 species
AUAGUACUCCCUCCGUCCAAAAAUACUUAUCAUAGAAAUGGAUGUAUCUAGAUGUAUUUCAGUUCUAGAUACAUCCAUUUUUAUCAAUUUGUGCGACAAGUAAUUCCGGACGAAGGAGUACAUU